rnacentral:misc_RNA from 1 species
AGAAAAAUAACAUUCAAAUCAAAUAAAAUUAAAAUAAAUGAUAAUUUAUUUACAUAUAAUUAUUAAAUUUUAUUUGGUCUAAUAAAUGUUGAAUGCGAGAUUUUAUAAAUAUCUGACAAGAUUAUUAUAUAUAACAUAGCAAAUUAAAUUUUUUCGUUGUACCUUUUAUAUCAUUAGAUAUUUUAGAGAAGGACAUGUCAAAUUAAAUUCUAUAUUUAAUUCUAAAAUCGCAUGAAAUUCAAAUGAAAUGAUAAUUCGUAUUUU